CGUUCGUCUUGCGGGGUACCACUGUAGCUCUAUAAUCCCUAUUGUAGUAAGAUAAGACCUUUGGAGCAGGCAUUAAUUUUUUGUUAUGAACUGCCUUAACUUUUAUAAUACACUGCUACAGGAUGCAAAGUACAAGAAUCAGAAGUCCAGUGGUACCCUUGUAGCUCAUCUUGAAGCCUUCAUACAAUUCUUGUAGGUUGUCCAUUAUUAGCCGCUUCCUAUGGUACUCUUUUCCAAUUCUGACCACAUCUUUCAUUCCUGGCUUUAUUCUAGACUUCUCACCACUGUGAUAAAAGUUUAGAACCUUGCUUACAGUUUCAGAUGGAAGCUUUUUUCCACCUCUGGGAUCUGGUUUAGCUAAAAUUCCUUUUUCUUUAAAAAGCUCCUGUGCCUGGCAAACUGAAUCACUGGGGAAUAUUUUUUUUUCUUCAUUUUCUGUUGCAUAAGAGUUUUCAAGGGUUCUUGUAUGUUCUUUCAAUGCUGAUUUCAAAUCUGAAAUUGAUUUUUGUGUACAUGCUAUAGUUAUCUUUCAAUUUCUGACUUUUGCUGAUAGGUCAUAUUUACACUGGGGAGAAGUGGACAAUGACACAUUGAUCUACCUUAACCAACUUAAUUUUUCUUUAUUUUUAUAGUUUUUUAACCUAAAUAUUUGUAUUUUUCAGAUCAGACCAUGGCUUCUUCAAAAUGUGUAAACAAGCCUGAUGCCUUUUGUUAUGCAUGUGGCUGCUACACACUUCCUUGUCAGAGAGACAAUAUAACAGCAUUUGUGAGGCGUGCCUAUAAAAGCUGUUUUGAAAUUCCCCUUGGUGACCAAGACAAGAAAUGGGCUCUGCAUAUUGUUUGUCACAAUUGUGAGGAAAUGCUUAGAGACUGGCCAAAAGGAAAACUGAAGAGUAUGCCUUUUGGGGUUCCCAUGGUUUGGCGAGAACCCAAGGAUCACACAAGUGACUGCUAUUUUUGUCUGGUCAAUAUGAAGUGUAUUGGCAAGAAAAACCGACAUGCUGCUGCCUAUCCCAGUAUUCCUUCAGCAAUUAGGCCUAUCCCACACUCUGAGGAACUCCCAAUUCCAGUUUUUAAGGGGUUUGUCUCUUCUGAAGAUGAAGGAAGUGAACAUGGUGAGGAAGAUCGUGAGGAUUUUGGGAGGGUGCAUUGAGAAAUGGCUAUAGAAUCCGAAGACAACUCAUUGAGCAGCAAUCAGCCCCACAGCUGUUUGGCCAACGGGAACUGAAUGACUUAGUGCGUGAUUUGGGCCUCUCCAAGAAGGCAGCUGAGUUAUUAGCAUCCAGGCUGCAAGAAAAACAUCUACUGCACCACUCGGCAAAAGUGACAUAUUUCUGAAAGAGGGACCAGGAGUUUGUGGGCUUCUUUUCAAAAGACAAGCACUUUGUUUACUGUCAUGAUAUUCCAGGCCUUCUCUGCCAAUUGGGCAUUACAUCAUACAAUUCAACGGAAUGGCGCUGAUUUCUUGAUAGCUCUAAGCGCAGUCUCAAGUGUGUUCUCUUGCACAACGGAACGUGUAUGGAGUGGUUCCCGUUGGUCACUCAUUGAUGAUGAUGUGGAGGUGAAAAUGAGUGAGGAAGAUGAGGGUGCAAGUAGGCUGAAUUUAAUAAGCCCCAAUGGACGCCUACAGACCUGGAAAUGCAUGGAAUCCAGCAGAAAAAGAAAUUGACAGUGUGUGAGUAAAAAGAGAAAAUUAAGGUACAGCACAUAGUUAUGGACUAUGCCCCACUGAAUUCAGUGGGAUUUUCUUCUGAUUAAACAUGCCCAGUCUUAAGUUGAAAGAGGAAAAAACAUGCUUGGGCAGGAUAUUAAGAGAAACACAAAUGUGAGGAGUGGGAGCAAGGUACAGGCACUUUACUUGAGGAAUAUGUAUCUACAGCAUCAGCUGCAACAUGCUAGCAGAAGCCUGUAUUGAGAGGGAAAGUAAUGUGUAAAUAUUACUUGUUGGAUUGUGAUAAUUACACCUUGAAAGUAAAUAGGGUGAACAUGCCUUGCUCCAUUGCAACCACCAGACCACAGACAGACUCUUGUUGAUGGUAUAUAGUUUCCAAUCUAUUGUUCCAGUAAGUUUUGCACACGGGUUUUAAAGUUAAAACAUGGAUGCAGAUUGGGAUUGAAAAUUAACACCUGCCACUGAAGUAUCAGUAGUUUAACAUGAUGUGGCUUAUUCUGCUCAACUUCUGUAUCAGAGGUAAUUUCAUGUAUAGGUAUAAAGAAACAUCUGUGCACAGCAUCUGUGUAUGUUCAAUUUAAAAAUAAAUCAAUUUCUUAACACCA